GGCGUAGACGGUGUGGCAAGUCUGAUGUGAAAGGCAUGGGCUCAACCUGUGGACUGCAUUGGAAACUGUCAUACUUGAGUGCCGGAGGGGUAAGCGGAAUUCCUAGUGUAGCGGUGAAAUGCGUAGAUAUUAGGAGGAACACCAGUGGCGAAGGCGGCUUACUGGACGGUAACUGACGUUGAGGCUCGAAAGCGUGGGAGCAAACA
rnacentral:rRNA from 1 species